GUGCUUGCCUGGGCAGCACAUAUACUAAAAUUGGAUACUGAUACAGAGAAGAUUAGCAUGGCCCCCGAGCUCACAAAUUCAUGAAGUCUUCCAUUAAAAA
ensembl:snRNA U6 U6 spliceosomal RNA